AUGAGCGGACAAUUCCGAAAAAAUGGUAAGAUAUGGGUAAGAGUUUUCGCAGAUAUCCCUAUUACCGGGAAACCUACAGAAGUAAGAAUGGGAAGAGGAAAAGGAAAUCCUACGGGUUGGAUUGCUCGUGUGUCCGCGGGACAAGUCCUAUUUGAGAUGGAUGGUGUGAGUUUGUCAAAUGCUCGACAAGCCGCUACAUUAGCGGCGCAUAAACCAUGUUCGUCAACCAAGUUUCUUCAGUGGUCGUAA